AGUGAACGCUGGCGGUAGGCCUAACACAUGCAAGUCGAACGGCAGCACAGUAAGAGCUUGCUCUUACGGGUGGCGAGUGGCGGACGGGUGAGGAAUACAUCGGAAUCUACUUUUUCGUGGGGGAUAACGUAGGGAAACUUACGCUAAUACCGCAUACGACCUACGGGUGAAAGCAGGGGAUCUUCGGACCUUGCGCGAUUGAAUGAGCCGAUGUCGGAUUAGCUAGUUGGCGGGGUAAAGGCCCACCAAGGCGACGAUCCGUAGCUGGUCUGAGAGGAUGACCACCCACAGUGGAAGUGAGAAGCGUCCCAGACCCCAACGGGGGGCGGCAGGGGGAAAUAUUGAACAAGGGGCGAAACCCUGACCCACCCAACGCGGGGGGGGAAAAGGGCCCUUGGGGUUAUAAGCCCUUUUUGUGGGAAAAAAAAAGCAGGGGUUUAAUACCCCGUUUUUCGGAGGGACCCAAAAAAAAAAGCCCGGCCAACUUUCGGC
rnacentral:rRNA from 1 species